UACGUAGGGUGCAAGCGUUAAUCGGAAUUACUGGGCGUAAAGCGUGCGCAGGCGGUUCGCUAAGUCAGAUGUGAAAUCCCCGGGCUUAACCUGGGAACUGCAUUUGUGACUGGCGGGCUAGAGUAUGGCAGAGGGGGGUAGAGUUCCACGUGUAGCAGUGAAAUGCGUAGAGAUGUGGAGGAAUACCGAUGGCGAAGGCAGCCCCCUGGGCCAAUACUGACGCUCAUGCACGAAAGCGUGGGGAGCAAACAGG
rnacentral:rRNA from 1 species